GACGAACGCUGGCGGCGUGCUUAACACAUGCAAGUCGAACGGAAAGGCCCUGCUUGCAGGGUACUCGAGUGGCGAACGGGUGAGUAACACGUGGGUGAUCUGCCCUGCACUUCGGGAUAAGCCUGGGAAACUGGGUCUAAUACCGGAUAGGAGCCAUUUUUAGUGUGAUGGUUGGAAAGUUUUUUCGGUGUAGGAUGAGCUCGCGGCCUAUCAGCUUGUUGGUGGGGUAAUGGCCUACCAAGGCGGCGACGGGUAGCCGGCCUGAGAGGGUGGACGGCCACAUUGGGACUGAGAUACGGCCCAGACGCCUACGGGAGGCAGCAGUGGGGAAUAUUGCACAAUGGGCGCAAGCCUGAUGCAGCGACGCCGCGUGGGGGAUGACGGCCUUCGGGUUGUAAACGCCUUUCGCUAGGGACGAAGCUUUUUGUGACGGUACCUAGAGAAGAAGCACCGGCUAACUACGUG
rnacentral:rRNA from 1 species